CAUCAAUAUUAAUGUCCUAAACUUUACCAAGAAUUAUUAAAAAUCCCUGCGUAUUGCUUACGUAAUGUUGAUAUUGAGUAGUACCAUACAUAACCUCAACAUUAUGAUACUUACAAACAUCGCUAAACAAGUAGUGCGAACGAUGUCGACAUUUCGCUUGGCGUUGGUACAACUUGAAGUAAAUGAAGUAAAACGCAAAAAUGUAGAGCGGGCAGUUUCCUACAUUUCUAGCGCAAAAGAGCACAAUGCUGAUAUUAUAGCUCUUCCUGAAUGCUUUAAUUCACCAUAUGGAAUACAGUACUUUCCAAAAUACGCCGAGAGUAUUCCUGAUGGUGAAACGAGCGUUGCUUCAUCGAACGCAGCUAAAGAAAACAACAUCUAUGUAGUUGGUGGUACGAUGCCUGAAAUAGAGGGCGAUAAAUUGUACAAUACCUGUACUAUUUGGGGUCCCGAUGGAACUUUGAUAGCAAAACACCGAUAGGUACAUCUAUUCGACAUCGACAUUCCUAAUAAGAUUACUUUUCGAGAGAGUGAUUCACUCAGUCCUGGUAACUCCCUAACGACGUUCGAUGUGAAGGGCUGCAAAAUAGGUAUUGGCAUUUGCUAUGAUAUUAGAUUCGAGGAAAUGGCACGCAUUUAUCGGAACAAAGGUUGCCAAAUGCUGAUAUAUCCAGCGGCAUUCAAUAUGACCACUGGACCACUGCACUGGUCAUUACUUCAGCGUUUCAGAGCGAAUGAUAAUCAAUUAUACGUUGCCUGCAUAUCACCGGCUCGUGUUCCUUAAACAAGUUACGUCGCAUGGGGACAUACACAGUUGACCAAUCCCUGGGGAAAGAUUCUUUACGAUUUGGAAACUCAAGAGAAUAUGGCAGUCACCGAUAUCAAAAAAAAAAAAAAGUCACCGAUAUCGGUAAUUUACAGCUUAAAAUUAAAAGCGAGAGAUCCAUGAUGUAAUUAAUUUUUAGUCUCGUUAAUUUAUCGAUUUAGCCAUCUUCCUCUGUAUUUGUUGAAUUUAUUAGUAAGCAUUACUUAUUACUUCGUAUGUUUCUUUUUUCUAUCAGAUCUAAAAGUUGUUGAGGAAGUAAGGGCUCAGAUACCUACAUUUUCUCAGAGACGUACAGAUUUGUACGACACUGUCUGUAAGAAGGAGUAACUCUACACUAAAACAGAAAAUGUUUUUUUUUAAUAUUUCUACUAUAAUAUCCUUUUUUUUGUGAAUUAUUACUAAUUUCUUAUCAUUUGUACUAAAUGAAUGACUCAAUUAAGAAAACCAAAGCGUUAUAAAUAAUAAUCUGUAUAUCUUGUGUAUCAACAUGUAAUUGGAUAUUAUAAUAAUAUAGGAAUGCUAUAAUAAUAUAGGAUAAUAAUAUAGGAGAAUAAUAAUAUAGAAAAAAAUA